rnacentral:lncRNA from 1 species
AAAAAGCCAUUGAACAUAUUCCCCGUUUGUGAAAAAAUCACUCUGUCUCUUUAGUCUGGUUCCCAUCCUGACCCCAGCAAAGGCACGACAUAAGGCAACACUGCCUGUUCCAGGUAAACCUGCUCACCUCUCUUAAGACUUUCUGUGGCGAUUAUAUGUGCCGUUUGGUUUGCGCGUCUUGAUAUGUGUCCAAAAUAGAUCUUGUGGAAAUGAUUCUUAUUUUGGUGAAUAUCAUUUAAUAUAAGCUUCUAUUUUCGACUUAUCUUCAAUAUUGGACUAACACUUUUUGAUAACUGUCAAUGCAUCCCCUUGGAUUUGGACUGCAUCCACACCUAUCCCCAUCCCCGACCUCACUACUUGGGAGCAUGCAAAAGCUUUCGCAGCAAAUGAAGAGGCUAUUCGAUUUGUUAGAACCGAUUUGGAGACAAUCACCUCCCCCUUUUAUUCUUAGCCACCAACCCUGAAGUAUAUUUGAAAAGUUGUUGGCUAAAAGCCGCAUAAAAAUUAAUGCGAACGACAUGAUUCUCUUGGGGUCUCCAUUUCGAAGAGGAAAAGUGUUUGGUAAGGCUUCUGUUACUAAGGACUUCAUUCUCCAGCACAAAACUCAUUAUUUUGUCUGCAAUUUCCUUUCCAGAAUUGUUCUAUUCUCAUGAUUUUUUUGUUUCUUUCACUCUAGAUAACCCAAAGUGCAUAGCAGAAUAAUUGACAUUGUUUGUUUGAACCAUCUUCAAACACCCAGGUGAGCCACUCCUAGUUUCCCAGAUUGGGUUUAGAUAUCACCCAUGCUAGGUUUAAAUAUGUCCACAAUUCUAUUGAAACAUGACAUUCUUAAAAUACAUGCACAGAGGUUUCCACUCCCAAACCACACAUUGGGCAUACUGUACUUGAUCUGAGUUGUCUAUACUGUAGAUUGGUUAGGGUAGGCAGAAAGUCUCAAGAGACUUUCCAAGUUGUAAUUUUUUGCUUUGUUGUGAGAUUAAGGCUCCAUAAUUUUUUGUAAAAAGGUUUCAUUUAAUCCUGUAUCUCAUUAGCACUAGAAAUAGUAGGGAUGUUAAACAAUAAUUUGUAUGCACUUCUAACUAUAAAUUUGCCCAAAGAUUCUCCUUUCCACACCAGUAGAUUGCUGUGCUCCAUUAUGGCUAAAGAAGCAAAAUUCUAUCUAUGUCCUCUAUAGAAAGGGUAUUCUGAAUCAACCUAACUCUCCAAGUUCUAUUCGAGCUGUCAAUUAAGUCGGAUACUUUAGAAAUACCAUUUCCACUAAUCGUUCCACUGAUCUUGUAAUUUGCAACACAUGGAAUCCAAGCAUCCUCCUUAAUACUAAUUUUAUCACCCUUACCAACCCUCUAGCAAAAACUUUUCUCAAGGAGCCCCCUAGCAGCCCAAAUACUCUGCUAGGUAUACAAAGGUAGAUUCCCUAACUUAGCUUCUAAAAAAUCACACCGCGGAUAGUAUAGAGCUUUUAGAACUCUCGAUAAUAAUGAAUUCGAAUAAUUUAAAAAACGCUAACCUUGCUUCGCUAAUAAUGCUAAGUUAAAUUUAACUAGGCUUCAAAAACCCAAACCUCCCACCUCUUUCAACUUACAUAGCCUACUCCAUUCGCACCAAUGUAUACCCCUUUUACCAUGACCUUUUUGCCACCAAAAUCUAGGCAUUAAACUUUCCAACUCUACACACAGCAAUUUAGGUAACAUAAAACACAUCAUGGAAUACGUAGGAAUAGCUUAGAGGACAACUUUUAUGAAGACUUCCUUGCCUCCUUGAGAUAAAAAUCUCAUGCUCCAACUAUCAAUUUUUUGCUUUAUCCUAUCUUUUAAUACCUGAACGCCAUUUUCUUAUGCCUUCCCACCAUAUUUGGGAGCCCCAAGUAACAAUCUGGGUCAUUAUCUUACACCCAAAGUUCCUGAAAAUGAUAGCCUAUCCUCUUUAGCUACAUUAGAACUAAAAAACACUGUUGACUUUUCAUAAUAUAUGUACUGCCCAGAGCUCAUAUUCCUUUAGAAUAUAUUUUAAAAUGCAAACCCCCUGUCAUUAGCCUCCCUAAACAACAUGCAAUCAUCAACAAAUAAUAAAUGAGUAAUCUGCAGCCCUGCUCUACUCACUUUGACACCUUUUAGCCUACCAUCGUUCAAUUCCAUAUUCAUUAGAACCAACAAACCUUCACUACAUAUCAAGAAAAGAAAUGGACUCAAUGAAGCCCCUUGCUUGGCUUGAAAAUUCCCCCAACCUUGCCAUUAACUAUCACCGAAUAUGAGUCCGAUGUGACACAUUGUAUAAUCAAAUCAAUCCAUGACAUAGAAAAACCCAUACACUCUAUCAUUACAUGAAGGAAUCCCAAUUCAACCUGAUCGUACGCUUUGUUCAUGUCUAACUUUAGUGCCAUAGACCCCUUUUUACCCAAUUGUUCAUGUCUAAAAGAGUGAAAAAUCUCAUAUGCUACCAGUAUAUUAUCAAAAAUCAACCUCCCUAGCACAAAAGCAUUUUGGGCACUAUCGAUGCAAAUUUCUAGCAUACAUUGAAAUCGAUUAGCAAUCACCUUAGCAAUCAGCUUAUAAAUCACAAUACACAAGCUUAUAAGCCUAACAUUCUUUAGAUUCAUAUGAUGAGAAAUUUUUGGGAUUAACACAAUAUUAGUGAUGUUUAAGGAGUAACGCUCCUUACCUUCAUUUAGGACCUUCAAGCAAAAAUAAAAAAUCUCUCUACCCACAAUAUGCCAACACCGUUGAAAAAACAAUGCCGGAAAACCAUCAGUACUAGAAGCUUUUGUAGUUACCGUUCCCUUCAAGGCCACCAAAAUUUCAUCCUUAGUAUACUUUUCUGUCAACAACAAAUUGUCUUCAUCUGAAAUACACUUCCUCACCCGCUCAAAAUAUGGUUAGAGAUGACGCUACCAGUAGUAGUGAAUAGUUUUUGAAAGUAGUUUCUCACAAUUCUCUCCAUCUCAAACUCCUCCAUCAUCAACCUCACAUCCUCAUACUGUAAGGCCCUUAUUCUAUUGGUCUUUCUCCUCUGCGAGGCAUACUUAUGAAAGAAAGUUAUGUUCUUAUCACCCAAGUGCAACUAGUUCACUGGUGCUCGCUGUUCCCAGAAUAUCUUCUCUUUGUCAAUCUCCAUGAUUAAUUUAAUUUUCGUAUCGACCAGCUCCUCAAGGGUGACGUCAUCCCUCUCAUUUUCCAACAAAUCUCCCAACUUAUUAGUCAACUCUCUACGAAGAUCCUCCCUUUCCCCCUAGUCAUUUUAGCCUAUUUGUUCAAACCCUCCUUAAGCUGCUCUAACUUGAAAAAUAGGUCACCUUCACUACUAUCCCAUAAUUUCCUAACCUCUCCCUCAAAGGACUCAUCCAUUACCUACCAAGCCUUAAAUCAAAAUUGUUUGGGUAUCUGAUGAAAACCUUAUCGAUCUAUUUGAAAAAGGAUAGGGUAGUAAUCUGAGUACAAAUAAGGUAAAUGUCGCACCAUCAAAUUUGGGAACAAAUUCAUCAUUCUUUUAUUUACCAUACUCCUAUUCAACCUCUCAUUUAUAUUUUUUUUAGAAUAUUCCCACUCUCCUAUGUGUACCAUGUCCCCAAAUAUCCCACAUCAAUUAAGUGACGGUCUUCUAACACCCUUCAAAAUAUUUCCAUCCUCUGCUCAUCCCGAGGUUUCCCCCUAUCUUCUCAAAAGAAUACAUGAUUUCAUUAAAAUCCCCACAAACCAUCUACAGGGGGUCUUGUGAAUUCCUAAACGAUUUUAAAAAUCUCCAAGUAUCCUCCCUUCCUCAAGCAUAAAAAGCCCCAUAAAACCCAGUAAAACGCCAUUGUAAGGUACUAUCAGAUUCUUGAACGUCAGCAUCAAUAUGGUGAACUGAAUAACUUCUCAGAGUGAUAAUACUAUUACCUUUCCAAGCUAAACAGUAACCACCUCUCGAUCCAUCAGCAGUAACGUCAAAUCCAUUCAAAAAACCACAUCGCCUUCAAACAUUCUCCAUUCUUUUAGUAUUCAAUUUAGUCUUCAUAAAAAAGACUAACUGGGGAUUAUACAUCUUCAGCAAAUGCCGAACUCUUCUAACUGCCUGUGGAUUCCCUAAACCACAGACAUUUCAACAUAAGAUUUUCAUUGUGCUCGAUUGGCUUGCCUCUUGGUAGCCGCCGAUAUAAAAUAGGCUCCUUCCACUAGUCUUUCCUCCCUAACCACUAUUGCAUCUUCCACCCUAGUAAAAUUAUGAGAUCUAACCUCCUUCCGAGGCCUCUUCUUCCCAUUGCCACUUGCAUUCAGGGACUCCUCCACAUCAUGACCCAUAUCCACAAAACCUCCCACCUGUCUUGGAAUAUAGUUACCUCCUUCCAAAUUAAGACUUAGCAUAGGAUCCAAUCGCACCUCGAAUCCUGCCAAACCACUUCCUUAGUGCCACUCCCUAGAUUCAGAUAUCAACUACUACCUUUGAACCCUCCCUCGCCGUUAUCUUCUACGACCCACACAUUAUGCAUAGAAACAACUCUUCUAAAUUGGGCACGCAAGGAUAAAUCCCAUCCCAACUCAAUCGACUCCACUUCUUUUGCCAUCUUAAUUUGAUAGAAAGAAUCAUUAUGCCCAAAAUGACCAUAGUAAAUGUAAUAUCCUAAUUUUGGGCCUAGUUCGAAUAGUAGUUUCGUGACCACAAAAUCCGAGAUAGAAAUAAUGAUUUUAUUAUUAUUUUGAGGUCUAUGAUAUGAAUGCAUGAUUGUGUGAAAAUUUAGUGAAUAAAUUUUAUGCAUAAAGUGCUUAAAUUGAAAUUAGGGACUAAAUCGAAUAAUUUGCAAAACUUGCAUUCUAGAAGUUUCUAGUAUGAAAUUGUUUUGAAAUAUUAAUUAGGAGGUCUUAAAUAGCAAUUUUACCAAUUUCUAAGUCUAUGGACAAAAAUUGGACAUGGAUGGAAUUUUUGGAAAGUUUAGUAGUAAGGGCAUUUUGGUCAUUUAGGGGUAAAAUGAAUUAAAAUACAAAAUUAAAAGCCAAUUUUGCUCAUCUUCAACCCCAUGGCCGAAUAUAGCAAGGAGAAACCAUGGCUAGGGUUUUUCAAGCUUCCAAGCUCGAUUGUAAGUCCGUUCUAGCCUCGUUUUUAAUGAUUUUUACGUUUUUGGAGUCCCGGUAGCUCGAUUAAGCUUAUGCUAGCAAUAAUUCAACCUAGGGUUCAUAUUUGGAAAAAUACCCAUAGGUGAAAUUCGUGUAUUUUGGUGUUUUAUGAUAGAAUAUGAGGUUUUAAAUUAUGUUAGAAAACUUGUACUAAUCGGUUUUAAGCGAAAACGAGCAAAAGGGCUUAAUCGGUAAAAAUACCUAAUAGUCAUAAGUACAUGUUAGAGUGAGAAUUUGAUGUUGCCAUAGAAGGAAAAAAUGAUCAGCAUGUCAUAAAACAUAAGAAAAUAGGCUGAAGUUUAAUUUACGAGCUUUGGGGAAAAAGUGUAAAUAUGUGAAAGUUUAGGGGCAAAACUGUAAUUUUUCCAAAACAUGAGUUUGGGUCAAUUUGAAUAAUGUGAGUCCUAAUUAGACUAUAUUUUAAAUGAUAGAGCAAGGAAAACUAAAAUUCGGGCUAAAAUGGGGAAAAUACCAAGUUGUGGACGAAAUGGUAAAAGUAGCCAUUUUCGCAUACGAGGUAAGUUCAUGUGUAAAUAAUGUAGUAUAAUUGUUAUUUUUAAGUUAUUAAUGUUAAUCAUAUGAUAUGCUGAUUUUUAUCAUGAAAUAUAUGCUUUGUGGUUAUUUUCGAAUAAAAUGCAAAUUAUGUGAAUUAUUUGUUAAAUAUAAAGUGCUACCGAGUAUUGGUUUUGGUAUUUUACGGAAGAUGGCAUGGAGAUGUGUUCGAGGAAAAUCCCGUUUGAACCUUAGGAAUAGAUUAGGAUACAAGUGACAUGUCACUAGGAUAUUUGGGCAUCCGAACUCGUUGAGUUGAGUCCGAGUUCACUUAUGGAUGCGAACACCCGAGCUCGUUGAGUUGAGUCCGAGUUCACUUAUGGGCGGGUUACAUGGUAGCUUGGCUACAUAUGUGGCACUUAUGUGCAAACUUUCCAUGUAUCCGAAUUAUAUUCCGAUGUGUUCAACGGGUAAAAUUCUACUGAAAUGGAGGAAUACUCGAGAUGAAAGGGGCGUAUUGGUAAGUUUUGUGAAAUGAAUACUUCGAACAGGUAUGUACUUAACCCUCGGGUUGAAAACUCGAUAUAACAACAAUAUGGUAAGAUGAUAAAUGAAAAUGUGAUAUGGAUGUCUCGGUGAUGAUUAUGAAAAUGAUGUUUUAUGUUUGCUUAUAUAGUUGUGUUACUUGCUAUUUGCAUGUGAGCUUACUAAGCAUUUAUGCUUACUCCCUCCUUUUCAUUCCUUGUAGUGUUGACAAGCCAGCUCGGAAAUCGAAAACGGUCGGAGGCACGCUCACACUAUCCGUAUACCAUCUUGGCAUAAUGGCUUGCAUAUUUUGAGUAUGGCAUGUAUAGCAUUAUAAUCAUUUUGUAUAUAUGGUCUUAUGAUAUGGUUAUUGAGUGCUAUGGAAAUGCUUGGUAAUGAUUAGCCAUUAGAAUGGCUAAUCAUGAUCAUAUUUGGUGUUAUGUAUGCUAAAUUGCUAGCUAAUUCAUGGAAACCAUGAAAUAGGUAAAAUUUACCAUAAAAUAGAUUCAGACAGCAACAGUGACGUGAGUUUGAAAAAUCAUUAAAAAUAGUAGAGAUACAAUUAGAUGAUGAAUAAAUAUGGAAUUGAAGAAUUAUGAGUCUAUUUUCAUAUGGAUGGAACAAAACAGGUAUAUGAGUUAUAUUUUAUGAGAUGUUUAAAUUUUUGUGAAACAGGGCCAGAGCGAUUUCUGGAUCCCUUGUUCUGACUUUGGAAAUUCACCAUAAAUUGUUCAAAGAUAAUUAGAAGUCAUGAUUUAUAUGUACAGAUUCCUUAUUGAGCCUAGGUUUAUUAGAAACAAAUGGCAUAGUCAUGAAAACUCUGUACAGGGAGAUAUCUGAUUCGUAAUGCACAGAGGUCAGAGCAAUCGAACCCUGAAACAGGGGAGACUUUAACUAAUAAACUGUACUAAUUUGCUCGACCAAAAAUUCUAAAAAAGAAUUAGUAAAUAUAUAUAUGAGUCUAUUUUUAAGGAAAAUUUACGGAAUUGGAUUUAGAGUUGUGGAACUCAAGAUAUGAAUUUUUAAGAGACUGUGAUACAUAUUUCUAGCUUGACUGAAAAUUUUAAAAAUAAAUUGUUUGAGCUGUUUAAGUAAUGAAUUAAGUCUGUUAACACCUCGUGUUCGACUCCAGCUACGGUCUCGGGUACGGGGCGUUACAUUUGGUGGAAUCAGAGCAGGUUUAGUCGGUUCUCGGACUAACCUAGCAUGUGUAAAAGUUUAGCUAUACAUGCCACUGAUCUGUGAUAGUGUGAUGUCUUCCGACGCGUAUGAGUACCGUCUUAUUUAGACAGGGUACUCUCCAACCAAGCUGGGCUGACCAUGUUCAAUGUUAUGUGAAGGUAUUUGAGUAAAAUUAUGAUUAUGAUAAGUCUUGGUUCAGAAAAGUAUGAAUAAAAGUUUAUGAUACAUAUGUGAUAAAUAUUCAUAUUUGCUUAAUGCUCAUAUGAUGUAAUGUAUGUGGCUUACUUGAUAAGAUGAACGAAAUAAAUAGAAAGUAGUAGAGGUAUGAAUAAAAGUCAUAAUAUUAUGAUACGAAUGAAAAUGUCCUUGUCUUGAUUUGGACGUCUAAUGUUGAUGAAUGCUAAUGAUAUAUAAUUUUUAUGAGAUGAAGGAUUAUAAUGAAAUGAACUUAUCUAUGUUAAUUAAAUUGUUGGAUUUAAUUAUAUGAUUGUAAUGAUAUGUACAUUAUGAUGCACGAAAUGAAUGUUGUGAUUGUGAUGCAAAUGUCUAUGUUUGUUUGGCCUUAUAUGAUGUCAUGAGCAUGAAUUAAUUUAAUUAAAUGAAUGGAUAAGUAAAGCUAUCUAGAAAACAUAGAAUGUAUGCAUAAGUAUAUUGUCUAAAUGGGACAAUAGGAAAAUUUGUGUAAGCCAACAUGAAUAUUGCAUUGCCUGAAUGAAUGACAUGAGUUUGAUGAUGUUGCUAUGAUGAUGGAAGUUGUGACAUAUGUGUAUGUAUAAGAAAGUUGAGUCAGAGGUCCUACAACCCCUCCCCCUUACCGAAAUGGUACUUAUAAUGGAAUUUCAUGAGAUUUGUAUUGAAUAAGUUUCCGGUUGAGAACCCAAAGAGUUCAGUGAUAGAAUAAUUAUAAGUAUGAUCAGAGAUUGAAAAUGAGCUGAUAAGUAAAGUCAGAGUCAGUAAAGUAUCGGAUUGAUAUAAAGAUUAUUGGAAUUAUGCACUGUCCCAGUUAGAGAAGGAAUUCUCUUUGGUAAAUCGAAUUACUCAGGUGCAAGGUCGAGAAAAGUGUAAAUCAAAAUUUAUUCAGAACUGGCCUUCUUUAGUGAAUGGUUUAAUAUGAAAUUUGUGAUGGCAGAACUAGUUGGGGAAAUGAUAUUUGAAAUGUGAACUAUCUGAGUGUGACAGUUAUGACUGGAUAGAUUUAGCAGUCUCUUUUGAGAUGUUCUAUGUGUUUACCUGUUCUCAGAAAUAUUUCUAUGACUAUUGAUCUUCUGAAGAAAUUCUUGUUAUAUGGGAAUGUCUGCUAAUUCUGGUGUUGGAUGAAAGCAUUGGUAGUCUGUCUAGUUUAUAAUUUAUAUUGCUCUAUUUCAUCAGGGUAUUCUGUAUUUUCUCUAUGAGUUUGGUUUUCGAUUUUCUGGCAUAAUACCGUAUCUUGGGUUUCUUUAUCCUGGAUCUCUUUAUUCUGGAUUUCUUUAUUCUGGGUUUCUCUAUCUUGGAUUUCUUUAUUCGGUUUUCUUAGUAUCUUUGUUUCAUAAUUUGUCAAUUAUGACUCAUGUUCGAAGUACGUUCCUUAGCUCGUGAUAAUCAUGUCAAAUAUGACUAUACUUCUAAUUUGAUCUUGGUAAUGUGGUGAUUUUAGUAUUGGGAUUUUUUCUAAUUUCUGUGUAAGGAUUUGACAUCAGUAAAGGCAUAGGUGAUAAAAGCGUGAGUUUCAGUCGGUAUGGUGAAUUAUUUAUUUGAAAAAUUUCAUGUGAUAAUUAUGUCAGGAUUAUUUUUCUCAAGUCUGAUAAUAUAAUUUCAUUUUUGUACUGAUAAAAGAGUAAAUAGUCUGAACGAGAAGUGUAUAUUUAUUAGAAAGAGUUGGAUAUUAGUUAAAGUCACUACGAAUGAUAAGGUUUUCGUCUUGUGAAAGCUGAAAAGUUUAUUACAUGUUGACAAAGUUUGGAUAGAUGAGAAUAUUGGUAACCGAAGCGUCUGAACUAGACUAGUCUACAUUGAGUAAAGACUUCCUGACUUUCAGUAAUGUACUGUUGUAUGAAUUGUGAUGUGUUUCAAGACAGUGAGGUAAUGUGAUAGUUUAGAGCAUUCGAUGUUACAUAAAAUCGGAGUUGUUAAAAGGGUUAAAGCGGAGCAUUGGGAUCUAUCAAAAUUAUCCUUGUCAGUGUUGAUAUUGGGAUGGAAAUGAGAAGGAUUAUUCUUGAGGCCAUAUCAGAAUUAUUUCCAUAGCGGAAAGAGGAAAAUGUGAUGUAUCCUAUUGUUAAAUGUUUGGCGAGAUCUAUAAAUCAUAUCUAUAUUGAAUGAAUUCCUACUUAUCAGAUUCAUGGAAUUUCAGGUCUCUUUGAUUGUUGGAUUUCUUGGAAUUCCGGUCUCCAUUAAUCAAGUUAAGAUCCGGGUUUUAUGUCAUGAUAUCAUGGGAAACUAAGAAGGGUUGAAAAUUUAAGAACAGUUGAGAGUUGAGACUAUAAGCUUUCAGAUCAUAUGAGAAAUUAAAGAGAUGUAUUGGAGGUACAGCCUAAGUGAAAGUUCUUCGGCAACGAAUAUGAGAUUAAAAGUGAAGACCACUUUUCUGGUAAGAUUUUCGGGGACGAAAAUCCCUAAAAGGGGGGAGAGUUGUAAUAUCCUGAUUUUGGGCCUAGUCAGAAUAGUGGUUUCGUGACCAAAAAAUCCGAGAUAGAAAUAAUGAUUUUAUGAUUAUUUUGAGGUCUAUGAUAUGAUUGCAUGAUUGUGUGAAAAUUUCGUGAAGAAAUUUUAUGCAUAAAGUGCUUAAAUUGAAAUUAGGGACUAAAUCGAAUAAUUUGCAAAACUUGCAUUCUAGAAGUUUCUAGUAUGAAAUUGUUUUGAAAUAUUAAUUAGGAGGUCUUAAAUAGCAAUUUUACCAAUUUCUAAGUAUAUGGGCAAAAAUUGGACAUGGAUGGAAUUUUUGGAAAGUUUAGUAGUAAGGGCAUUUUGGUCAUUUAGGGGUAAAAUGAAUUAAAAUACAAAAUUAAAAGCCAAUUUUGCUCAUCUUCAACCCCAUGGCCGAAUAUAUCAAGGAGAAACCAUGGCUAGGGGUUUUCAAGCUUCCAAGCUCGAUUGUAAGUCCGUUCUAGCCUCGUUUUUAAUAAUUUUUACAUUUUUGGAGUCCCGGUAGCUCGAUUAAGCUUAUGCUAGCAAUAAUUCAACCUAGGGUUCAUAUUUGGAAAAAUAACCAUAGGUGAAAUUUGUGUAUUUUGGUGUUUUAUGAUAGAAUAUGAGGUUUUAAAUUAUGUUAGACAACUUGUACUACUCGGUUUUAAGCGAAAACGAGCAAAAGGGCUUAAUCGGUAAAAAUACCUAAUAGUCAUAAGUACAUGUUAGAGUGAGAAUUUGAUGUUGCCAUAGAAGGGAAAAAUGAUCAGCAUGUCAUAAAACAUAAAAAAUAGGCUGAAGUUUAAUUUACGAGCUUUGGGGCAAAAGUGUAAAUAUGUGAAAGUUUAGGGGCAAAAUUGUAAUUUUUCCAAAAUAUGAGUUUGGGUCAAUUUGAAUAAUGUGAGUCCUAAUUAGACUAUAUUUUAAAUGAUAGAGCAAGGAAAACUAAAAUUCGGGCUAAAAUGGGGAAAAUACCAAGUUGUGGACGAAAUGGUAGAAGUAGCCAUUUUCGCAUACGAGGUAAGUUCAUGUGUAAAUAAUGUAGUAUAAUUGUUAUUUUUAAGUUAUUAAUGUUAAUUAUAUGAUAUGCUGAUUUUUAUCAUGAAAUAUAUGCUUUGUGGUUAUUUUCGAAUAAAAUGCAAAUUAUGUGAAUUAUUUGUUAAAUAUAAAGUGCUACCGAGUAUUGGUUUCGGUAUUUUACGGAAGAUGGCAUGGAGAUGUGUUCGAGGAAAAUCCCGUUUGAACCUUAGGAAUAGAUUAGGAUACAAGUGACAUGUCACUAGGAUAUUUGGGCAUCCGAACUCGUUGAGUUGAGUCCGAGUUCACUUAUGGAUACGAAUGUCCGAACUCGUUGAGUUGAGUCCGAGUUCGAGUUCGAGAGAUGUAACUAGGCAUCCGAGCUCUUUGAGUUGAGUCCGAGUUCACUUAUGGAUGCGAACGCCCGAGCUCGUUGAGUUGAGUCCGAGUUCACUUAUGGGCGGGUUACAUGGUAGCUUGGCUACAUAUGUGGCACUUAUGUGCAAACUUUCCAUGUAUCCGAAUUAUAUUCCGAUGUGUUCAACGGGUAAAAUUCUACUAAAAUGGAGGAAUACUCGAGAUGAAAGGGACGUAUUGGUAAGUUUUGUGAAAUGAAUACUUUGAACAGGUAUGUACUUAACCCUCGGGUUGAAAACUCGAUAUAACAACAAUAUGGUAAGAUGAUAAAUGAAAAUGUGAUAUGAAUGUCUCGGUGAUGAUUAUGCAAAUGAUGUUUUAUGUUUGCUUAUAUAGUUGUGUUACUUGCUAUUUGCAUGUGAGCUUACUAAGCAUUUAUGCUUACUUCCUCCUUUUCAUUCCUUGUAGUGUUGACAAGCCAGCUCGGAAAUCGGGAACGAUCGGAGGCAUGCUCACACUAUCCGUAUACCAUCUUGGCAUAAUGGCUUGCAUAUUUUGAGUAUGGCAUGUAUAGCAUUAUAAUCAUUUUGUAUAUAUGGUCU